AUGAAAACAGAACAACGCUUUUUUUGCCAUUAGAACAAACCACAGGAUCAUCACCUUAAAAAAGGUUAGGUUUAGUAACAAAGUAAAAAUUUGUUUUUAUUUUAUUUACUUUUAGAAUCACUGAAAUUAUGGCGGACUUCAGUAUUUAGUGUCCUUGAUGGAUUAUUAACUAAAGCGAACUAAUCUUUACAGCCUGCCUGAAAACAUCAGAGUAGACAAGACAACUGGCAAAUGCUGAAGAUGUGCUACAGUGGUAUGUUGUUGUUCUAGUUGAUAGUUGGAUUACCAAAGUGGAAAAAGCAGAGGACUAAAGCCAACUCGUUGGAUUUUUCUGUUCUGUGGAAGGUUCAAAGGGAAACUUCUAAUAUGAGUGCAGCCGAUUUAACUGUGUCUUACAGUUGACAGAGUCUGAAAUGCACUGACAAGUAUGUUUGUGGCUGUCUUUAGUGUGAGUUUAGUUUUUUGGUUUAUGGACAACUGAACUUGAGCACAAUUUCAGGAUAAACUAGAGGGAAGACCAUUAAACGUUAGCAAGAUUGCCUAAUAUAGAAAUCCUUCUGAAUCUCAGCAUUCUUAACGACAGUUCAGAGAGAAGUGUUGUUAAAAGGAAGCUCCUUCUGCUGAACUAACCAUGGUUGGUACAGGUGGCCCAGUGGCCACUUUCUCUGCGUGGGAUUAUGUGGUGUUCGCUGGAACAAUUUUGGUGUCAGCUGGCGUCGGCCUUUUCCAGGCCAUCCGAGGCCGCAAGGAGACCAGCAGCAAUGAGUUCUUGCUGGGUGGACGGCAAAUGACAGCUGUGCCAGUUGCAAUGUCGCUCACAGCCAGCUUUAUGUCUGGCAUCACAGUCAUCGGCACACCAACUGAGGCUUACCGGUUUGGAGCUGCUUUCUGGCUCUUUGGCUUCUCCUAUGCCAUCAUGUCUGCCAUCACCGCUGAGGUCUUUGUCCCACUUUUCUACAGACUGGGGAUCACCAGCGCCUAUGAGUACUUGGAGAUGCGCUUCAGCCAGCCUAUUCGGAUAAUUGGAACAUCUAUGUACAUCAUUCAGACGGCCCUGUACACUGGUCUGGUCAUCUAUGCUCCGGCUCUUGCACUAAAUCAAAUCACAGGGCUUGAUCUAUGGGGAGUGCUGGUGGCUACAGGAGCAGUGUGCAUCCUCUACUGCACUUUGGGCGGUCUGAAAGCAGUAAUCUGGACAGACGUGAUGCAGAUGGUGACCAUGCUGGCAGGUUUUGUGGCUGUUAUAGCUAGAGGAGCUGUGCUGCAGGGAGGCCUGACGAAGAUUUGGGACGACGCCGGCAAAGGAGGCCGACUAGACGCUUUUGAUUUUGACCCAGAUCCUUUGAAGCGUCAUACUUUCUGGACUAUCAUAGUCGGUGGCAGCAUCAUGUGGGUAUCCAUCUACUCAAUCAACCAGUCCCAGGUGCAACGCUACAUCUCCUGCAAAACCUUGCGACAUGCCAAGAUGUCUUUGUACGUGAACAUGGUUGGCUUGUGGGUAACCGUGAGUCUGGCUGUGUUUUCUGGCCUCACCAUGUACUCCAUUUACAAGAACUGUGACCCAUUUACAAAUGGUGAUAUAAGCGCCCAGGACCAGCUGCUGCCCUACCUUGUGAUGGAUAUUCUGGCAGACUACCCGGGAAUCCCUGGCUUGUUUGUGGCUGCUGCAUACAGUGGUACCCUGAGCACGGUGUCUUCCAGCAUUAAUGCUCUUGUUGCUGUCACUGUGGAAGACUUUAUUUUUCCCGUGUGCAAAAACCUCACAGAGAAACAGGUCACCUGGAUGAACAUGGGCCUGAGUGUAUUCUUUGGUGCCCUGUGUAUUGGAAUGGCUGGAGUUGCUUCAUUGAUGGGAAGCGUUCUGCAGGCAGCUCUGUCCAUAUUUGGCAUGAUCAGCGGACCUCUUCUUGGUCUUUACCUUUUAGGCAUGCUAUUCCGCACAACUAAUUCCAUAGGAGGACUUUCGGGAAUGAUCAUUGGUCUUGUGCUGACUCUGUGGGUGGGGAUUGGAGGCCAGGUUUACCCAGCAACAGCUGAAAAGACAAAUCCUCUUCCAGUCAGCACUGCGGGCUGCAACAACACUAUGGGCCAAAACUACACAACGACAGCUCCGUGGACCAGUCCUCUGACCUCACAGCCAAAGUGAUGUGAGGCCACCUCUGGCAGACUCCUGGUACUCUCUGUCCUACGUCUACUUAUCUCUCUUGGGGACACUGACCACAAUAGUGUCUGGCCUGCUGGUGAGCAUAAUCACAGGUGGAUGCAAGCAAGAAAAAAUGAACCCUGAUCUGUUUGUGAAGAGGAGUGAUCUGUUCUGCUUCAGCUGCUGUAGUAAAUCAGAGGCAUCAGUAGCCCCAGAAAAGGCUGCAACAGACUUUCAUAUGGAAGCUGACAACCCAACAUUCACAGACUUUGAAAUGAGGAGUAAAGAUGAUGAAAAAGCCACCAAACUCUAAUGAUGCUAUAACAAUACUUUUUUUUUUUUAAACAAAUAAUUAACUAUUACUGGUAUGUGCCUAUUUAUAUUGAUACGAAUGUGUUUCAAACAUGUUGCUUAAAUUAAAAUACAAAAUAAUUCAGACUUUACAAUAAGAAAGAACUUAACUAGUGAUAAAAUUCUGUCCUAACAAAAAUUGAAUUGUAUAUUAGAAAUGUUCCAAUACCGAUACUGGUAUUCGUUAUAUACCUCCGAUACUGCCUAAAACGCUGGUAUCAGUAACGGGAAGUACUGGAGUUUAUACACCGAUCCGAUACUAUGUAAUAAAGCCCUGAAGAGAAUCUA